UAAUGUGUUGUGACGAUACAAAUUGUGGACUAGAGUUUCUCAUCUGAAAAUCUUCACCCAGAAUAUGAUUAUCAAAUCCUUGGCUGUCCGAGCACAUAG